UCCACAAGACGAUUGUUACUCUCUGUAUGCCUUUAGCCCAACAGGUCAAUCUGAUAGUUAUAAAUUGUGUGGAUGCCGUCAGAAAAAUGCCCAAACACACUGUAAAAGAAAAAAGAAAACAACUAUAAUUCUGAUACACGUCUAACAGGCUCAAAGAUGAACACCACCAACACAAGUUAACCUCACUGCAUGCCUUUGGACUGUAGGAAACCGGAGCUCCCGAGGAAACCCACACGGACACGGGGAGAACAUGCAAAAUCCACACAGAAAGGACCCGGACCGCCCCACCUGGGGAUUGAACCCAGGACUUUCUUGCCACCGUGCCUCCCGCUAAAUGUGUAUAAAUCCAGAUUUUACUGUCUGAGUUUUGUACAGUUAUUGAUCAGCUUUAAUUUUCUGUGCUGCACCAUUUCGGAGAAUAGAAAUGUAUACUGGAAACCAUGCACCAUACUUUACAGCUCAUUUCUGUAAUAAGUGUAAUGAAUGUCACACGUAUGAAGUGGUUCUCUUUACUAAAAAAUAAGUUUUAGUGUGGCUAGCAUUGAUCAGCCCUACUCUCACUGCAUUUUGCCUACUGUAUGGCUUUCUGUUACGCCCAUACUGAGAGUCAGCCAGUUCAUAUUGACCUUUAUUUCGAAUUUGACCAGUCUAAAUGAAAGUAAUCAGAAAUAAAAAUACAGUAAAGAACCUCU